UACGUAGGGAGCAAGCGUUAUCCGGAUUUACUGGGUGUAAAGGGCGCGCAAGCGGACUGGCAAGUCAGAAGUGAAAUCUGAGGGCUCAACCCUCAAACUGCUUUUGAAACUACUGGUCUUGAGUGAUGGAGAGGCAGGCGGAAUUCCCAGUGUAGCGGUGAAAUGCGUAGAUAUUGGGAGGAACACCAGUGGCGAAGGCGGCCUGCUGGACAUUAACUGACGCUGAGGCGCGAAAGCGUGGGGAGCAAACAGG
rnacentral:rRNA from 1 species